rnacentral:rRNA from 1 species
CGAAAGCCUGACGGAGCAACGCCGCGUGAGGGAUGAAGGCCUCUGGGCUGUAAACCUCUUUUCUCAAGGAAGAAGAACUGACGGUACUUGAGGAAUAAGCCACGGCUAAUUCCGUGCCAGCAGCCGCGGUAAUACGGGAGUGGCAAGCGUUAUCCGGAAUCAUUGGGCGUAAAGCGUCCGCAGGCGGCCUUGAAAGUCUGUCGUUAAAGCGUGGAGCUUAACUCCAUUUCAGCGAUGGAAACUACAAGGCUUGAGUGUGGUAGGGGCAGAGGGAAUUCCCGGUGUAGCGGUGAAAUGCGUAGAUAUCGGGAAGAACACCAGUGGCGAAGGCGCUCUGCUGGGCCAUAACUGACGCUCAUGGACGAAAGCCAGGGGAGCG